rnacentral:rRNA from 1 species
AGAUUGAACGCUGGCGGCAUGCUUUACACAUGCAAGUCGAACGGUAACAGGCCGCAAGGUGCUGACGAGUGGCGAACGGGUGAGUAAUGCAUCGGAACGUGCCCAGUCGUGGGGGAUAACGCAGCGAAAGCUGUGACUAAUACCGCAUACGAUCUAUGGAGUAGGAAACGGCGGGGGAACCGAAAGGCCUCGCGCGAGUUGGACGCGGCCGAUGUCAGUAUUAGCGUUAGGUUGGGUAGGGGUAAACGGCCCAACGAAGGCGACGAUCGUGUAGCGUGGUCUGA